GCAUCUCUGGUGUAGGGGUAGCAUGUAGGUUUCCCACCGUUCUUUACAGUGGAGGUGUUGCAACAACAACAUCUUUCGUGUACAAAUGUACGUGGAAAAUACCUGCGAUCCGAGUUCGAGUCUCGGGAGAUGCA